rnacentral:rRNA from 1 species
UACGUAGGGUGCGAGCGUUAAUCGGAAUUACUGGGCGUAAAGCGUGCGCAGGCGGUUGUGCAAGACAGGUGUGAAAUCCCCGGGCUUAACCUGGGAACUGCACUUGUGACUGCACGGCUAGAGUACGGUAGAGGGGGAUGGAAUUCCGCGUGUAGCAGUGAAAUGCGUAGAUAUGCGGAGGAACACCAAUGGCGAAGGCAAUCCCCUGGACCUGUACUGACGCUCAUGCACGAAAGCGUGGGGAGCAAACAGGAUAGAAA